UCUUCUUCUUUCUCUGUGAUAAUCGAGUUCGCCCAUCUCCGAAUUGACUUCAUGCGUAUUUGAAAGUUAUGAAGGGAAAUAAAAAGGUGGCAAAGAAUAAGGGAGUCCCCAAUGAAAGGCGUCGUCUAUCUCUUAGGCCGAGAACGACCCCAAUUGCAAAAACACCAGUAAUUCCUGAGGGGAGUAAGAAGAGUAAGAAUAGUAAGAAGAGUACGCAAGAGAGAGAACCGAGUCACAUAUCGCUCUCAGUCACAGAUGAGUCCGAAAGGGAGGGGUCUGAAAGUGAGAGGAGUAAGAAGAGUACGCCAGAGAGAGAACCGAGUUACCAAUCGCGCUCAAUCUCAGAUGAAUCCGAAAGGGAGGGGUCCGAAAGUGAGG